rnacentral:misc_RNA from 1 species
GAUGAAGAACGCAGCGAAAUGCGAUAAGUAGUGUGAAUUGCAGAAUUCAGUGAAUCAUCGAAUCUUUGAACGCACAUUGCGCCUUCUAGUAUUCUGGGAGGCAUGCCUGUUUGAGCGUCAUUAAACCUCUCUCAAGUAUGAUUACUUGGAUGUGAAGGAAGAGUACCUUAAACUUAAGGAGUGUUCUCCUUUGAAAUUGAUUAGCAGAUGGUAAUGUUAUUAAAUCCCUGAUGUUGUAAAAAAUAACAGUGGUUUUGUAGACUAUUAUCUAGCUUUAAAUUAUAAUUUUUAUUAUGGUUGACCUCAAAUCAGGUAAGGAUACCCGCUGAACUUAAGCAUAUCAAUAAGCGGAGGA